AAUAUGAACCACAAUUAAAGAAACGAAUAGAGAGGGGCAUGUUGGCUCUGAGUUCCAAAUGAUCUCUAUAUCUUGCACGUCACGUUCUGUCUCUACAUCUAAUUAAGCCAGACCCACCAGUUUCACGUAUACGGUCGUUCAGAAAAUGAGCAAGCAGUCUACCUCUGUAUGCGUACGGAGCGUACAGUUGGGGUGAUAGGUGACGACAACGAAGAACGAACUGCAUGUGUGACAGAGAGUUUUUGGGAGAUGGGUGCUUGACGUCUGUAUAAUAAUGUACUUAUGGAGCGUGAAAUACGUUUCCAUCUGUGCCUUGAUACAGACUUAUCAAGUGGGCCCACCUCUGCGGUAGUGGCCAAGUAAAUUCUUUCUAUCCAAUGUAUGGUUUUUUUUAACGUAGUCCAUAUGCAAGCACUUGUUUAUACGCGCAUAUACUCAUUCUUAUGAACGCACAUACAUAUAUCCUACCUCUGUGAGCAUCUCCGCGAGGUUGAGU
rnacentral:lncRNA from 1 species